rnacentral:rRNA from 1 species
UACGGAGGGGGCUAGCGUUGUUCGGAAUUACUGGGCGUAAAGCGCACGUAGGCGGCUUUGUAAGUCAGAGGUGAAAGCCCGGAGCUUAACUCCGGAAUUGCCUUUGAGACUGCAUCGCUUGAAUCCGGGAGAGGUGAGUGGAAUUCCGAGUGUAGAGGUGAAAUUCGUAGAUAUUCGGAAGAACACCAGUGGCGAAGGCGGCUCACUGGCCCGAUACUGACGCUGAGGCACGAAAGCGUGGGGAGCAAACAGG